UCGCCCAAGGCGACAAGGUUGCCAAGAGAGGCGGCCUUCUCAAGGAAACUUGAGAUAGCCUGGGUGUUUUA
rnacentral:ncRNA from 12 species